rnacentral:rRNA from 1 species
CGGACGACGCUGGCGGCGUGCUUAAUACAUGCAAGUCGAGCGAGGCCUUGGAAUUGGAGUCCUUCGGGAUGAAGAGUCCUUGGCCUAGCGGCGGACGGGUGAGUAACGCGUGGGCAACCUACCCCAAAGUCCGGGAUAACAGUGGGAAACCGCUGCUAAUACCGGAUGACUUUACCUGAGGGCAUCCUCGGGUAAAGAAAGGUUACGCUUUGGGAUGGGCCCGCGUCCCAUUAGCUAGUUGGUGAGGUAACGGCUCACCAAGGCGACGAUGGGUAGCCGGCCUGAGAGGGUGAACGGCCACACUGGGACUGAAACACGGCCCAGACUCCUACGGGAGGCAGCAGUAGGGAAUAUUGCGCAAUGGGCGGAAGCCUGACGCAGCGACGCCGCGUGAGCGAAGAAGGCCUUCGGGUCGUAAAGCUCUGUCCUUGGGGAAGAAGGCGAAAGCUUGACGGUACCCAAGAAGAAAGCCCCGGCUAACUACGUG